UCAGGUCUGUCUCCAGCUGCUGUAGCAGGAAUAUGUGUUGGUGUUGUUCUGUUGUUCGUGGCUGCAGCUGCUGGUGGUGUGAUUUACUAUCGCAAGCGUCCUCAAGCAGGAGAAAAUAACACCACAGCACAAUCCAGUGAUCAGUCAGGUCAUUUAAAAGACUCAUCUCCUAAUCUGUUUUACCCUAUGUUGAUGGACAAUGCUAAUGAGACGUCCCCUGAUGGGAAUGAGACUGAGGCUGCCGAUGAGACAUCACUGUAACAUCACUGGUACCAGUCAAUUUUCAGCUCAAACAGCACAGCAGAACUGACUGAAAUUUAUAUAUACAUACAGCAAUAAUUGAGGAAACAUGUAAACCAGCAAAAGAACAAUGGUCUCUUGAGAUUUUUUGGUAUAUGGGGGGAUUAAGCUGCUGAACUGACCCAGAACAAUGGGCAUUUAUUUCUGUUUCCUAUCAUUAAAGGGGUCUUGUGAUGCGAUU